UCAGAUGCGAAAGCGUGGGUAGCAAACAGGAUUAGAUACCCUGGUAGUCCACGCCGUAAACGCUGUCUACUUGGAGGUUGAGGUUUUAGACUUUGGCUUUCGGCGCUAACGCAUUAAGUAGACCGCCUGGGGAGUACGGCCGCAAGGUUAAAACUCAAAUGAAUUGACGGGGGCCCGCACAAGCGGUGGAGCAUGUGGUUUAAUUCGAUGCAACGCGAAGAACCUUACCUACUCUUGACAUCCAGCGAAGCCUUUAGAGAUAGAGGCGUGCCUUCGGGAGCGCUGAGACAGGUGCUGCAUGGCUGUCGUCAGCUCGUGUUGUGAAAUGUUGGGUUAAGUCCCGCAACGAGCGCAACCCUUAUCCUUGUUUGCCAGCACGUAAUGGUGGGAACUCCAGGGAGACUGCCGGUGAUAAACCGGAGGAAGGUGGGGACGACGUCAAGUCAUCAUGGCCCUUACGAGUAGGGCUACACACGUGCUACAAUGGCAGAUACAGAGGGCAGCGAGACAGCGAUGUUUAGCGAAUCCCUUAAAGUUUGUCGUAGUCCGGAUUGGAGUCUGCAACUCGACUCCAUGAAGUCGGAAUCGUUAGUAAUCGUGGAUCAGAAUGCCACGGUGAAUACGUUCCCGGGCCUUGUACACACCGCCC
rnacentral:rRNA from 1 species